GAUUAGUCGUAAAAAAAACAUUGAAGCAGCCAGUAUAACUAUCAUUGCAAUUAUUUCACAAAAAUGAAACUUUUCUAUGUGAUAGUGAUCUAUGCGUUUUUAAAUGUUGUGGCAAAUGGUGCUUAUAAUACAGAAGUUAGAAGGAACCCUGAAGAGAAACUCACU